CCUACGGGGUGCAGCAGUGGGGAAUAUUGGACAAUGGGCGAAAGCCUGAUCCAGCCAUGCCGCGUGUGUGAAGAAGGCCUUCGGGUUGUAAAGCACUUUCAGUGGGAAGAAAGCCUUGGGGCUAAUACCCUCGAGGAAGGACAUCACCCACAGAAGAAGCACCGGCUAACUCCGUGCCAGCAGCCGCGGUAAUACGGAGGGUGCGAGCGUUAAUCGGAAUUACUGGGCGUAAAGCGCGCGUAGGCGGUCUGAUAAGCCGGUUGUGAAAGCCCCGGGCUCAACCUGGGAACGGCAUCCGGAACUGUCAGGCUAGAGUGCAGGAGAGGAAGGUAGAAUUCCCGGUGUAGCGGUGAAAUGCGUAGAGAUCGGGAGGAAUACCAGUGGCGAAGGCGGCCUUCUGGACUGACACUGACGCUGAGGUGCGAAAGCGUGGGUAGCAAACAGGAUUAGAUACCCUGGUAGUC
rnacentral:rRNA from 1 species